UCUCCGUUGGUGAACCAGCGGAGGGAUCAUUACUGGAAUCGCAAGAUCCCACAACCCCUGUGAACCUACCGAAACGUUGCCUCGGCGGGCGCCCGGCCCCGCGCCGGGCGUCGAGCCCGCCGGUGGCCCACUACUCUGUCCCUGCAGCGUGGCAUCUCCGAGUACAAGAAAAACAAGUCAAAACUUUCAACAACGGAUCUCUUGGCUCUA
rnacentral:misc_RNA from 1 species